AUACGGAGGGUCCAAGCGUUAUCCGGAAUCAUUGGGUUUAAAGGGUCCGCAGGCGGUCAAUUAAGUCAGAGUUGAAAGCCCAUCGCUCAACGAUGGAACUGUCUUUGAUACUGGUUGACUUGAGUUAUACGGAAGUAGAUAGAAUAAGUAGUGUAGCGGUGAAAUGCAUAGAUAUUACUUAGAAUACCGAUUGCGAAGGCAGUCUACUACGUAUAUACUGACGCUGAGGGACGAAAGCGUGGGGAGCGAACAGGAUUAGAUACCCUAGUAGUCC
rnacentral:rRNA from 1 species